rnacentral:misc_RNA from 1 species
GAAACGCGAUAGUUAAUGUGAAUUGCAGAAUUCAGUGAAUCAUCGAGUCUUUGAACGCACAUUGCGCCCAUAGGUAUUCCUUUGGGCAUGUCUGUUUGAGCGUCAUUACAACCCUCAGCUAACCGCUGGUUUUGAACCUGAACGGGUGACACCGCGCCGGUUUUAAAGUUGUAAGCUCUGCUGGCCGCUCUGCCCAACCAGAACAUAGUAAGCACUACUUGUCCGGGUGAAGCUGAACGGUACGGCCUGAACAAAGCCUACCCACUCUCAAGGUUUGACCUCAGAUCAGACAAGGAUACCCGCUGAACUUAAGC